CCUGUGAGGUUCUCCAACUCCUUCUCCUCCAGAGAUGACAGCGUGUCAUCAUCACCAUCCAGCAGUAUCUCGCUCUCCGAGUUUUGAUUACCCAGCGCUUGACUUCUGAUGGACUGUUUGCCUUUGAGGAUGUCUUCUUCAGGAGCUGCUGAAGUCUCACCUGAGGGGAUGGCCAUUUGCAUCUGAGGGAGACGCACACCAGCCCCCAUUAGAACUACACUCUACUCAGCAGUAGAGCAAGAAAGAAGAAAAACUCUUGUCAUGGAAAGUAUGCAGCUCACUGAUAUUUAGAAUGGUCUUCCUGUAAUUAAGUCUCCCUAGAGGAUUUGUAGUUAGCUGCAGUGAAAUUACUACCAGCUCCCUAAUAUAUACCACAUGCCAAAGCAUUCACACCAGCAAGUGGACAGGAGACUUGACAGAAGAAUGGCUAAAAAAGAGUAAAUAAAUAUGUAUGUUCACUGUGUGAUAAUAAUAAUAAUAAUAAUAAUAAUAAUAAUAGGAUUGUUGUUGUUUCUAAUAAUCAAUAUAAAUGGAGCACUUUUAAUUUGCAAAAUAAAAUUAAGAUGAAAGGAUUGAUUUUAGAUUAUAUCUAACAAAUACAAUCCAAAUGUGUUCCAUUUCAAGGAGGCCAAAGGGACAGAGUGUGUCCAUACAUACUGCACAUGAACAGGCCUUAGCUCCCCAUAAGGUGUAUCCAGGGUGUCCACAUCACAUUACCUUAACCUGCUCAUUCAUUCAACUCAUUCAGCAUUCAAAUGUAAAUAAAACCAGGCUUGCAUUACA